rnacentral:misc_RNA from 1 species
UAUCAAAAGAAUUUAGAGUGACUUGUGUGCAACUAUCUACCCUAUUCUAUAAAUUAUUUCAAGAAAUACCAUGAACCAUACAGGUCUUCGUUAAGGCCUUAACAGAGAAAACUAUUACUCUUGAAGACGAAGCUUCUGACACGAUAGAGAAUGUUAAAGCAAGGAACUUUUAAAACCCUGUGCAUUAAGUUUAGAGACAAAUCAUUGAGAAAGUGUUCAGAGUAGUUUACUUCCAAUCACCUUGACUUGAAAUCUGAACAAACUGCUACCUACUUCUUCAAAUUUAUAUUUUACACAAAAUGAACAUAAUGAGGAAAUUAAUUUUGAAUAUCAAAGAUGAAACAAAGGAGAAACAAUGGUUUGUAAAUGAAGAUGAAGAUGAAGCAAUGCUAACUUGUUCAAAAAGUAGAAAGAAUGUAAGCGAACUACCUAUGCAGAGUGUUACAGUCCAUUCAGCCACAAGAUUUAAAUAUUCAACACAAAGAAGAUGUUGAUGCUAUUCUUGAAUAUGUGCCUCAAUUUAGUCUAUUGCGCCAACAAAAUGUUCUUCCAAAUAUGAAGGAUGAAAAUGUAUUUAGGGAAAAUACACCAUCACCACCACGUUACAGGACACCUCCAAGAGGAAUGAUUUUAAAUUCAGAAGAAGCAAAAGUGUUUAUUUUACUAAAACAUUACGGAUUAGGUCAAUACCUAAAUUCCUCGUUCAAGAA